rnacentral:lncRNA from 1 species
CUAACAAGUAACAACAGAUGCAUAAGGGAUAUUUUCCAUUUGUUUCUAUUUCAGAUCAUUCUUUGGACAUUGCAUGAGACUAAAUUUGUCUCCUUUCUGUAUUGGAACGGGAGAUGCUGAACAUUUAUCCAUUAUGAAUCUCUAAAACAUUAUUAAUAUAUGAUUUCUGAGACAAGUCUAAAAGUCCUUAUGAUCUAUCACGGAAUAUUUCUAUUCCUAUCACAUAACCUGCCUCACCCAUAUCUUUC